rnacentral:lncRNA from 1 species
AGGUUUCCAUAGUGACUGGUGUCUUCUGGAGGCUGGCGAUGGCCCUGUUCCGAGAAACCAGACUGAGAAGGAGGCAAACUGAGUCUGUUUAACCCCAGCCCCAUGGUGCCGGCUAGUGGUGUGGGAACAGUCUUUUAGAGAGGAACCAGACACCAGACAAACAAGGCCUCCUCCCUCAUCUCCUCAAGAAUGGGAAAGCGGCAGUAAGGACGAGGACAGUCAGUGGGGCCCUUUCCCUGACAAUGUAGGCUGGUUGGCUAAGCACCUCCAUGCUGGAGUUAGACCACCCAUGGCUCAAAUCCUGAUGCUGCUACCUCGUGGCUAGGGACCUGGGAGCCAGAAUAACUGCCAGACUCACAUGGUACCAUCAACUGACACGGUGAACCUGCAGCUCAGGAGGCUGUAUCGCUUGUCAAAGUCAGCCCACGCUAGUUCCAGAACUCACAAUUCUGCUUCCGUGCCUCCAGUGCUGGAGGGGAGGUGGGCUUACAGGUGUGGGGCAUCACACACUCCCAGGUUCCUGUUUGCUUCUCUGACCGUUUACAUCCAGGUUCAUAUUUGCAAACUUCUCUGACUCUUCUCACCAGGUCAGGUGUGGCACUGCUGCUGGUGCUAUCAUGUUGGUGUUAAGAUUUUCUUAGACUUUGGGGCAUUCUUGUGGUUCUGACUUUUAGACUGGAGACAUUGUGCUGGCCCUGCAUCUGGAGUCUGCCCACCUCACCUGGACUUCGGCUUCCUAGGCUGUGAGUACACUCACAGUGCCCCACCAACUCUGUUUUUCGAAGAAAUGCCAUUUUGUGCGAGACCACGGGCUAAAUUCCAAUUCCAGGAAGAAAAUCACAAACUCCACCUAGGCAAACACCCUAUAACUUUCCCUCACCCCUUUAGCAACAGCCAGGCUACAAUGGCAGGACCAAGUACAUACAGGUAACCUAAGAGAUCCUGCAGAGAACUGAUAGCCUAACCAUCCUAUUUGUCAGGUGGUUCUGCCCACGUAUUCAGUUCCUGCAGAUUAAGUCGGAAAUGCAGCUUUUAAAAAUAUUAACUUGCUGACCUGUAUGGAAAAUCUCCAAGCUUUCUGUAACCACAAUAAAAAGCCUGCACCGCCUAGACUUGGGGCUCUCACUCUGACCCUCUGUGACAGGGACAGUGAAACACCUUGCUUGGGACCUUGUAAUAAAAGACCCUGUGUGUUUGCA